rnacentral:sRNA from 1 species
GAGGUACAGUUCUGUAUAUGAAUGGCAUUUUCAGUAAAGAAGACUUGAGUACAAACGUUAGCGUUGAAUACCACUUCUCUGCCGAUCCUUAUCUUAGUGCCUCAAGCAGUAACGACUUUGGUUUGUCUGUAUAACGCCUCUGGCGGUUUAAACAAUUAAAGGAAAUAUCUGAAAUGGCAAAGAUUAAAGGUCAGGUCAAGUGGUUCAAUGAGUCGAAAGGUUUUGGUUUCAUCACUCCGGCUGACGGUAGCAAAGAUGUAUUCGUACACUUCUCUGCAAUUCAAGGCAACGGCUUUAAAACUCUGGCUGAAGGCCAGAACGUAGAGUUCGAAAUUCAAGACGGUCAGAAAGGUCCGUCUGCAGUCAACGUCACUGCGAUUUAAUUACAGUUCACGUUGUAAAACCCGCCACGGUGCGGGUUUUUUG